rnacentral:rRNA from 1 species
UACGAAGGGGGCGAGCGUUGUUCGGAAUUACUGGGCGUAAAGGGCGCGUAGGCGGCGAACCAAGUCAGAUGUGAAAGUCCUGGGCUUAACCUGGGGACUGCAUUUGAUACUGGUUUGCUUGAAUUCGGGAGAGGAUAGCGGAAUUCCCAGUGUAGAGGUGAAAUUCGUAGAUAUUGGGAAGAACACCGGUGGCGAAGGCGGCUAUCUGGACCGACAUUGACGCUGAGGCGCGAAAAGCGUGGGGAGCAAACAGG